rnacentral:lncRNA from 1 species
UAAACACAAAAAAACCCUAGCACCUUCCCCAUCUCCUCCACCCCAGCCAUCACAACCAUCAUUCCUCCUCCUCCAUGCCGCCGCCACUCCCCCUCCUCCUUCCACGCCGCCGCCUCCCCUCCUCCUUCCUCCUCUGGCGCCGGGUAUUUGACGUUAUACUUGAUCUGAAUAUUCUUGUGAAUUUGAAUUGCUAAUUUUUUUUUGGGUUUUCAUAGCUGGCGACAAUCAAAAGAACCUUUAAUUAAUAUGAGAUAUUGUAUUUUAUUUGAAGACUUUGGGAAAAGAAUAUGCACUUAAUUGUUAUAAGGAAGCCGAUUGAUUGGAAUUUAGGUAUCCAUUAUUUCAAAAUAUCAUCUUUACAAGGAUGGAAGCCGAUUGAUUGCAAUUUAAUUGGGUAUGAUAUACUUAUCUUUAUUUCAAAAUAUAAUAUUUAACAGCACCUUAGUUGAUUAAUGUUAUUUCAUAAGUUAAUUAUUAAUGUUUAUAUUCCGAUUUUGCUUAUGAUUAUGUUAAUUUUUUAUGUUUUUUAUGAAAUAUAGAUAUUCAUCUUGAUAAAUUGUUUGGUUAGAGUUUUUGUUUGUUUGAUUACAGAAGUUAAAAAACAAACAAUCUGUUUAUUGCAGACUACAGAGGUUUGGUCCCCCUCUUCUGCUACAGAUGUCUGCAGAUGUGGUACGCAAACCAGGGGCGGACUUAGAAUAUAGUGCGGGUGGGCGGGCGCACACCUUGAAAAUAUAAUGUUUAGUGUUAAAUUAGCGUUACAAUCCCGAGCGCAUCCCAUAAAAUUUUGCAAUCGCUCCCGUUGAACUUUGACCAAAUGAUGAAGAAGAUUUGAAGCAGAAAAAAAGUCACCGGAAAAGAAUUUUGCAGAGCCGGAACGGAGAAAAGCUUUAAGUUUUAUUUUAUUAAAGUAGGUUAUUUGAGUAGAAAAGUUUGUGCAGUGGAGUGGUUUUCGUUGGUGGAUUUUGAAACUUAAGAUUUUGUGCAUUAGAAAGUUUGCCAUGUUUUUUAUCCGCCGGUUAUUGUUGGUUUUGAAAAAUCACUUUAAGGCUAUUUGUGGCAGAGCCGGAACGGAGAAAAGCUUUAAGUGUGAAGAUGAUGAUAUUUAAGUUUUAUUUUAUUAAAGUAGGUUAUUUGAGUAGAAAAGUUUGUGCAGUGGAGUGGUUUUGAUUGGUGGACUUUGAAACUUAGGAUUUUGAUUAGAAAGUUUACCAUUUUUUAUAUCCGACGGUUACUGUUUUUUUUUUGAACGGUCAACAGAAUCAAUCACGAGCACUCUCAGGGCACCCACUGGACCAAACGGAGUACUCCGAGAGUAACCCGAGUCCACCACCAAUUCCGGGGAAAACCCGGUAAACCAUCCGCCCGUAGGCACGAUGGUGAAAUUACCGGUAAAACCUGUUUGGCUCAAGGAUCGAAGCUAGGUUUCCCUGGGUCUCCUAUCAUUGCCCACCAAUGCCUCACUCUGCACCAAGUGGGAGUUGAACUUGCAUCUCUCAAGAGAAAUGCAAGCCUUCCACCACUUGAUCUAGAGAUCAUUGGCAUCCGACGGUUAUUGUUGGUUUUGAAAAAUCACUUUAAGCCUAUUUGAGGCAGAGCCGGAACGGAGAAAACCUUAAAUGUGAAGAUGAUGAUAUUUAAGUUUUAUUUUAUUAAAGUAGGUUUUUUGAGUAGAAAAGUUUGUGCAGUAGUGGAGUGGUUUUAAUUGGUGGACUUUGAAACUUAGGAUUUUGUGCAUUAGAAAGUUUACCAUGUUUUUUAUCCGACGUUUAUUGUUGGUUUUGAAAAAUCACUUUAAGGCUAUUUGAGGCAGAGCCGGAAUGGAGAAAAGUUUUAAGUUGGAUUGGUUUUGAUUGGUGGACUUUGAAACUUAGGAUUUUGUGCAUUAGAAAGUUUACCAUGUUUUUUAUCCGAAGGUUAUUGUUGGUUUUGAAAAAUCACUUUAAGGCUAUUUGAGGCACAGCCGGGACGAAGAAAAGCUUUAAGUGUGAAGAUGAUGAUAUUUAAGUUUAUUUUAUUAAAGUGGGCAUUUGAGUAGAAAAGUUUGUGCAGCGGAGUGGUUUUGAUUGGUGGACUUUGAAACUUAGGAUUUUGUACAUUAGAAAGUUUACCAUGUUUUUUAUCUAACCGUUAUUGUUGGUUUUGAAAAAUCACUUUAAGGCUAUUUGAGGCAGAGCGGAAUGGAGAAAAGCUUUAAGUGCGAAGAUGAUGAUAUUUAAGUUUUAUCUUAUUAAAGUAGGUUAUUCGAGUAGAAAAGUUUGUGCCGUCGAGUGGUUUUGAUUGGUGGACUUUGAAACUUAGGAUUUUGACGGUUAUUGUUGGUUUUGAAAACUCACUUUUAAGCUAAAGGGUGUGGGAGUCAUGGUUGGGACAUGAUUCGUCAUGUAGGAACAUGAAUAAAAGACUAGGUAA